GCUCCUUUGGCGGCCCAAACACUGGCAUCGACACUCGCAGAGAAGAUGCGCACGGCCCCUGUGUAAGGAUGACGUGCAAAUUUGUGAAGCAGUCCAUGUUUUC